GACGAACGCUGGCGGCGUGCUUAACACAUGCAAGUCGAACGGAAAGGCCCUGCUUUUGUGGGGUGCUCGAGUGGCGAACGGGUGAGUAACACGUGAGUAACCUGCCCUUGACUUUGGGAUAACUUCAGGAAACUGGGGCUAAUACCGGAUAGGAGCUCCUGCUGCAUGGUGGGGGUUGGAAAGUUUCGGCGGUUGGGGAUGGACUCGCGGCUUAUCAGCUUGUUGGUGGGGUAGUGGCUUACCAAGGCUUUGACGGGUAGCCGGCCUGAGAGGGUGACCGGCCACAUUGGGACUGAGAUACGGCCCAGACUCCUACGGGAGGCAGCAGUGGGGAAUAUUGCACAAUGGGCGGAAGCCUGAUGCAGCAACGCCGCGUGCGGGAUGACGGCCUUCUGGUUGUAAACCGCUUUCGCCUGUGACGAAGCGGGAGUGACGGUAAUGGGUAAAGAAGCACCGGCUAACUACGUG
rnacentral:rRNA from 1 species